GUGGGUAUGUGCUGUAGGCAUCCAAGUGCGACAAAUGGGAAGAGCUCGUUUCUCCCUUGGUGUCUAGGUUGGCUGUCCUGGGUCUACUGGAAUCUCUUGAGAGAGCUGUGAGUCCCCUCGCUGCCUAGGCCCGUCCGCAGGAGCAUGGGACCCAUGGGACCCUGGGCCUCGGGGCUCAGGCCGGCGAAACUGGAGCCCUCACGAACGCACACAGCUGCCUGCCCACUGCCUUGGGUCCGUCCAUCCCGUUGCUGCCUUCUGCCAGGUUGGCUGUCCUGGGUCUACUGGAAUCUCUUGAGAGAGCUGUGAGUCCCCUCGCUGCCUAGGCCCGUCCGCAGGAGCAUGGGACCCAUGGGACCCUGGGCCUCGGGGCUCAGGCCGGCGAAACUGGAGCCCUCACGAACGCACACAGCUGCCUGCCCACUGCCUUGGGUCCGUCCAUCCCGUUGCUGCCUUCUGCCAGGUUGGCUGUCCUGGGUCUACUGGAAUCUCUUGAGAGAGCUGUGAGUCCCCUCGCUGCCUAGGCCCGUCCGCAGGAGCAUGGGACCCAUGGGACCCUGGGCCUCGGGGCUCAGGCCGGCGAAACUGGAGCCCUCACGAACGCACACAGCUGCCUGCCCACUGCCUUGGGUCCGUCCAUCCCGUUGCUGCCUUCUGCCAGGUUGGCUGUCCUGGGUCUACUGGAAUCUCUUGAGAGAGCUGUGAGUCCCCUCGCUGCCUAGGCCCGUCCGCAGGAGCAUGGGACCCAUGGGACCCUGGGCCUCGGGGCUCAGGCCGGCGAAACUGGAGCCCUCACGAACGCACACAGCUGCCUGCCCACUGCCUUGGGUCCGUCCAUCCCGUUGCUGCCUUCUGCCAGGUUGGCUGUCCUGGGUCUACUGGAAUCUCUUGAGAGAGCUGUGAGUCCCCUCGCUGCCUAGGCCCGUCCGCAGGAGCAUGGGACCCAUGGGACCCUGGGCCUCGGGGCUCAGGCCGGCGAAACUGGAGCCCUCACGAACGCACACAGCUGCCUGCCCACUGCCUUGGGUCCGUCCAUCCCGUUGCUGCCUUCUGCCAGGUUGGCUGUCCUGGGUCUACUGGAAUCUCUUGAGAGAGCUGUGAGUCCCCUCGCUGCCUAGGCCCGUCCGCAGGAGCAUGGGACCCAUGGGACCCUGGGCCUCGGGGCUCAGGCCGGCGAAACUGGAGCCCUCACGAACGCACACAGCUGCCUGCCCACUGCCUUGGGUCCGUCCAUCCCGUUGCUGCCUUCUGCCAGCACAACCAGUGACUGCCUGGCCCCCACAGUCUGUGAGAAGCAAACGCCUGGAUCACCCUUUCUCAUUCAGUUAUGAGGCUCAAAGGGACCUAACUGCAACACUGACGACCUACUGACAGCAGGCCCAGACUUGUGUAAGAGGAACCCGAAAGCAAAGUCUCCCAAGCACCCCUUGCCUUCACAAUCAUGUUGCCUCUUCAAUAGUCCAUAUCCUGGUCACUGACAGUGGGCACCAGACUACCUAGCACUCUCGACCCUAAUGAAGAAGAGAGGGUCCAAGGUGCCCUCCUUAUUCAGAAAGCUUGGAUGUUUGUCUGGCUAGUGCACGCAGAA